ensembl:snRNA U6 U6 spliceosomal RNA
GUACUAAAACUUUAGAACUUCUCAGCACAUGUACUAAAAUUGGAAUGCUACAGAGAAGAUUAGCAUGGCCCCUGCACAGGGAUGACAUACAGAUUCAUGAAGGGUUCCAUAUUUUU